UGUGUGCCUUGCCCCCACGACUACGCUAUCACUCCUACGGGAGGCAGCAGUGGGGAAUAUUGCACAAUGGGGGAAACCCUGAUGCAGCCAUGCCGCGUGUGUGAAGAAGGCCUUCGGGUUGUAAAGCACUUUCAGUAGGGAGGAAGGUAGUGUAGUUAACACCUGCACUAUUUGACGUUACCUACAGAAGAAGCACCGGCUAACUCCGUGCCAGCAGCCGCGGUAAUACGGAGGGUGCGAGCGUUAAUCGGAAUUACUGGGCGUAAAGCGCAUGCAGGCGGCCUGUUAAGUCAGAUGUGAAAGCCCGGGGCUUAACCUCGGAAUUGCAUUUGAAACUGGCAGGCUAGAGUCUUGUAGAGGGGGUAGAAUUUCAGGUGUAGCGGUGAAAUGCGUAGAGAUCUGAAGGAAUACCAGUGGCGAAGGCGGCCCCCUGGACAAAGACUGACGCUCAGAUGCGAAAGCGUGGGGAGCAAACAGGAUUAGAUACCCUGGUAG
rnacentral:rRNA from 1 species